UACGAAGGGGCUAGCGUUAUCCGGAAUUAUUGGGCGUAAAGAGCGCGCAGGUGGCUGAUUAAGUCUGAUGUGAAAGCCCACGGCUUAACCGUGGAGGGUCAUUGGAAACUGGUCGACUUGAGUGCAGAAGAGGGAAGUGGAAUUCCAUGUGUAGCGGUGAAAUGCGUAGAGAUAUGGAGGAACACCAGUGGCGAAGGCGGCUUCCUGGUCUGUAACUGACACUGAGGCGCGAAAGCGUGGGGAGCAAACAGGAUUAGAUA
rnacentral:rRNA from 1 species